rnacentral:siRNA from 1 species
ACCACCUCUCCGCCGUGCCUCCA